GAAUGACAGUCUUCGCUAAAUUGACAGUCUUCCGGUUGCAUGCUAUCAGGCGAUUAUCGGGUUAGAACUGAGAACGAAAUGGACGUUUUAAGCAAGAUGUCAGCUAUUUGAAUUGUUCUCGAGAUUGUGCAAGGGAAAGUCUUAAUUUACUCGUGAUCUUGCAUACUGAGAAAGGAAAGAAAUAGAAAUUAUCACAAUUUCUUUUAAGUGAAAAAAAUAUUUUAAAAUAGAAUAUUUUAAAGGAGGACAAAGGACUGGGCCAGGCGGAUACCCGGCCCAAUGGUACACGAUAUCCGCAUAUCAGUUCGAACACGUGUGCACCCUGUGAGAUACGGUAUCCAUUGUCUAUUAGCAACACGUGCACUUCCGGAACUGAGAUUAGCGUGAGCCAGAAGAACAUGUGGCUGAAUUCACCAGACCGAGCUAUUAUUGUCCCAGGACACGUACACGAAUGACAGAACUGAAAUUAGCGUCAUCAAAGCGCCCAUAUUGGGUGCACAGUGAACUCGUCCAUUAUGCGGAUUGGUUCGCUAAAUAAAUGUUUCAUCAGAAUUAUUAGGAAUCUUCUAUUGUUGAUUCGCCAAUAUACAUCGACCUUAAUAAAUGGUACGUGUAUUUAUAUUCGAAUUUAUUGAUACGGGAAACAAAGCAACAACGUGUGCGCAACAAUAUUGUGAAAUUAAUAUUAUAGAUAUACCGUAACGAUUCGUUAGAGAAUUAUACGUGAUAAAUUAAACUAAACAGUCACUAAAUUUUAAAUAAAUUCAUCUUUCUAUGUUA